GGGUGAGUCGGGUCCUAAGGCGAGGCCGACAGGCGUAGUCGAAUGGAUGAACGGGUCGAUAUUCCCGUACCGGCUUUCAGCCGCCAAAACCGAGGCUUGGAGUACUAACCUCCGGGUCCGGGCUUACUGCUCCUUCGGGGGCGGGAUGCCCUGGCCUGUUGGGACCGAUCCUUGUAGUAGGUCAGCGCAGGAGUGACGCAGAAGGGUAGCCGGCCGCGGAGGUGGUCUUCCGUGGUCAAGCACGCAGGGCGUGGGACAGGCAAAUCCGUCCCGCAUGGGUCCGAGGUGCGAUGAUGGGGGCCUUAUGGCCCGAUAUCCGGUGAUCCCGGCUGCCGAGAAAAGCUUCGGCGUCAGGCUCAAAGCCGCCCGUACCCCAAACCGACACUGGUGGUCAGGUAGAGAAUACCAAAGCGAUCGAGCGAAUCCUGGUCAAGGAACUCGGCAAAUCACUCCCGUUCCUUCGGUUUAAGGGAGACCCCCGAUGGUGAACACACUUGCUGUGGGAGCUUUUGGGGGUGGCACAGACCAGGGGGUAGCGACUGUUUACCAAAAACACAGGUGCAUGCGAAGGCGCAAGCCGCUGUAUAUGCACUGACGCCUGCCCGGUGCCGGAAGGUUAAGAGGAUCCGUCAGCCUUCGGGUGAAGCGGUGAAUUCAAGCCCCGGUAAACGGCGGUGGUAACUAUAACCAUCCUAAGGUAGCGAAAUUCCUUGUCGGGUAAGUUCCGACCUGCACGAAUGGCGUAACGACUUCCCCACUGUCUCGACCAGGAGCUCGGCGAAAUUGCAGUACGAGUAAAGAUGCUCGUUAAGCGCAGAAGGACGAAAAGACCCCGGGACCUUUACUAUACCUUGGUAUUGGCAUUCGGUGUGGAUUGUGUAGCAUAGGCGGGAGGCCGAGAGGCGCGGUCGCCAGAUCGCGCGGAGCCGUAAGGUGAAAUACCGCUCUGUUCGCAUUGGAUGUCUAACCUCGAACAGUCAUCCUGUUCAGGGACAGUGCCUGGCGGGUAGUUUAACUGGGGCGGUUGCCUCCCAAAGAGUAACGGAGGCGCCCAAAGGUCCGCUCAGCCCGGUUGGCAAUCGGGUGGCGAGUGCAAGUGCACAAGCGGGCUUGACUGCGAGGACGACGGUCCGAGCAGGGACGAAAGUCGGGACUAGUGAUCCGGUGCCGGUGUACGGACGCGGCAUCGCUCAACGGAUAAAAGGUACCCCGGGGAUAACAGGCUGAUCAUUCC
rnacentral:rRNA from 1 species